rnacentral:rRNA from 1 species
GACGAACCGUGCGAACGUUGUUCGGAAUCACUGGGCUUAAAGGGCGCGUAGGCGGGCUCACAAGUCAGGGGUGAAAUCCCACGGCUCAACCGUGGAAGUGCCUUUGAUACUGUGGGUCUUGAGGGAGGUAGGGGCGUGCGGAACUUCCGGUGGAGCGGUGAAAUGCGUAGAUAUCGGAAGGAACACCGGUGGCGAAAGCGGCGCGCUGGACCUCUACUGACGCUGAGGAGCGAAAGCGUGGGGAGCGAACAGG